CUGGAGGGGUGGGGCCGACGAGGCGGGGCCGGGGCGGCAGUCGGGCGGCAGCCGCAGCUGGGGCGGGAGCGGCGGCGGCGGCGCGGGGUAGGUAGCGUCGCCCCGUGGUGCGGCAUGUCCAAGACGCUGCGGAAGAAGCGGCACUGGCUGAGCAAGGUGCAGGAGUGCGUGGUGUCCUGGGGCGGCCCAGCGGGCCCCGACCCCGAUUUGCUGCGCGGCGGCGCCGAGCGCGGCGAGUUUCCGUACCUGGCGGGCCGCCUGCCCACGGGCGGCGAGGGCGCGCCGGGCCCUGCGCUGCUCUCAGGCAAGGCGCCGGCGCCGGGGGACGUGCUGCUGGAGGUGAACGGCACCCCGGUGAGCGGCCUCACGCACCGCGACACGUUAGCCGUGGUGCGGCACUUCAGGGAGCCCGUGCGCCUCAAGACCGUGCGCCCAGGAAAAGUCAUCAACAAGGACUUGCGCCACUACCUGAGCCUUCAGUUCCAGAAGGGCUCGAUAGACCACAAACUCCAGCAAGUGAUCAGAGACAAUCUCUAUUUGAGAACCAUCCCUUGCACUACAAGGGCUCCCAGAGAUGGGGAGGUCCCUGGGGUAGACUAUAAUUUCAUUCCUGUUGAGGAGUUUAAAGCGCUGGAAGAAAGUGGAGCCUUACUAGAAAGUGGAACAUAUGAUGGUAAUUUUUAUGGUACUCCAAAGCCUCCAGCAGAGCCCAGCCCCUUUCAGCCUGAUCCAGUGGAUCAAGUUCUUUUUGACAAUGAUUUUGAUACUGAAUCACAGAGGAAAAGAACCACGUCGGUCAGCAAAAUGCAAAGGAUGGAAAGUUCUCUCCCUGAAGAGGAGGAAGAGGAGGAAAAGGAAGCAGUUAAUGGCAGCGGAGGGAUAGAAAACAAAGAAAAACAUUCAGAUUCUCCUGACUGGAUGAAACCUGUUCCCAGCUACAACCAGACAAGCAGCAACAUGGACUUCAGAAAUUAUUUGUCAAGGGAUGAGACCCUGGAACCACUACCCAAGAACUGGGAAAUGGCCUACACGGACACUGGCAUGAUCUACUUCAUCGAUCACAACACCAAGACAACCACAUGGCUUGAUCCCCGGCUCUGUAAGAAGGCCAAAGCUCCUGAAGAUUGUGAAGAUGGAGAACUUCCUUAUGGAUGGGAGAAAAUAGAAGACCCUCAGUAUGGGACAUACUACGUUGAUCAUAUUAACCAGAAAACUCAGUUUGAAAAUCCAGUAUUGGAAGCCAAAAGGAAAAAACAGCUAGGACAGACUGAUGCUGGCCCUUCCAAAUCAGGACCAGGGAUGUCUGUCUUCACUCAAGAUCCAUCCCAGCUUACUGGAGCACUUAUAAGGACAUCCCUGAAAAAAAGUACCAUGGGAUUUGGCUUCACAAUCAUCGGCGGGGACAGGCCUGACGAGUUUCUCCAGGUGAAGAAUGUGUUAAAAGAUGGACCUGCUGCACAAGAUGGAAGAAUUGCUCCAGGUGAUGUCAUCGUGGACAUAAAUGGAAGUUGUGUCCUUGGCCAUACCCAUGCAGAUGUUGUCCAGAUGUUUCAGCUCAUUCCCAUCAAUCAGUAUGUGAACAUGACUUUAUGUCGUGGGUACCCUCUUCCUGAUGACAAUGAAGACCCCAUGGUGGAUAUCGUGACAGCCACGCCUGUCAUUAGCAGCCCGCCAGCGCCCAAGGGAGAUGCUUCCGUGUCCAGCCAAGAUUUAGUAGCAGGAACGGUUGUGUUGGACCAGAAUGGGAAAAUGUUGGUCAACGGUCGCCUGAACGGCCCUUCCGUGGAUUCCGUGGAGCAGAGGGUCUCCUGUGCCUCCUCAGGAGGCUCUCAGCCAGAGCUGGUCACCAUCCCUCUGGUCAAAGGGCCUAAAGGCUUUGGGUUUGCCAUUGCAGACAGUCCCACAGGCCAGAAGGUGAAGAUGAUUUUGGACAGCCAGUGGUGCCAAGGACUACAGAAAGGGGAUGUCAUCAAGGAGAUUUGCCAUCAGAAUGUGCAGAGCUUGACCCACUUGCAGGUGGUGGAGGUGCUCAAGCAGUUUCCAGUAGGAGCAGAGGUGCCCCUGCUUAUCUUAAGAGGAGGUCCACCCUCACCUACUAAAGCUGCCAAAGGAAAGGACAAGCAGGACAGUUUGGAAGCUAUCAGUGAUACCAUUCCACAGCCAAUGCCCUUCCCGCCUUCUGCUGUGCGACCAAGCUCUCCUAAACUGGACCCUUCCGAAGUCUACCUGAAGUCUAAGACAAUUUAUGAGGACAAACCUCCAAACACAAGAGAUUUAGAUGUUUUCCUGAGAAAACAAGAGUCAGGUUUUGGUUUCCGGGUGCUUGGAGGGGACGGACCGGAUCAGCCUAUUUAUAUUGGAGCCAUAAUCCCAUUGGGAGCAGCAGAAAAGGACGGGAGGCUGCGUGCAGCGGAUGAGCUGAUGUGCAUUGAUGGAGUCCCUGUGAAAGGGAAGUCACACAAGCAAGUUCUGGAUUUAAUGACCAGCGCCGCACGGAAUGGGCAGGUGCUGCUCACUGUCCGGAGAAAGAUCUUCUUCAGUGGGGAAAAGCAGGUGGAGGUGGAGGAGCCACAGCCUGUCCUGACACAGAACAGCUCUCCCCGGCUGAACCGUGUCAGCUUUGCCAACCAACCUUGCCCGGAGGUCUACGACGUCCGUCUGCAGCGGAAGGAGAACGAAGGAUUUGGCUUCGUCAUCCUUACCUCCAAGAACAAACCUCCUCCUGGGGUGAUUCCUCACAAGAUUGGGCGGGUAAUCGAGGGAAGCCCGGCUGACCAGUGUGGGAGGCUGAAGGUGGGCGAUAGAAUCUCAGCGGUGAACAGCCAGUCCAUCGUGGAGCUUUCUCAUGACAGCAUCGUGCAGCUCAUCAAGGAUGCAGGCAGUGUGGUGACCCUCACGGUGGUGGCUGAGGAAGAGCAACGUGGUCCUCCAUCAGGAACAAACUCAGCCAGGCAGAGCCCGGCCCCACAGCACCGACCACUGGGAUUGGCACCAAUCAACUCCGACAGGGGAGCUACAGAAGGUGAAGCUGGAAAAGAAGUUUCUAGUAGUUACCGGCUGUCCUGGCCCGAGCACAAGCACAUGGCGCAGUUGGAUGCUGCUUCAGGGGUUGGCAGCCAUCAUUCCCAGAAUCCUGGCUGUUUCCCAGUGGAGUUGGAAAGGGGCCCUCGAGGGUUUGGAUUCAGCCUCCGGGGAGGAAAAGAAUACAACAUGGGCUUAUUCAUCCUCCGUCUAGCUGAGGAUGGGCCGGCAGUCAAGGAUGGGAGAGUCCAUGUUGGUGACCAAAUUGUGGAAAUUAAUGGAGAACCUACCCAAGGAAUCACUCACACACGAGCCAUUGAGCUGAUUCAGGCUGGAGGGAAUAAAGUUUUGCUGCUGCUGAGACCAGGGACUGGAUUGAUACCAGAUCACAGUGAUUGGGAUAGAUGCAAUCCUGCUUCAUCAAAUGUAAUAUAUGAAGAACAGUCACCAUUAUCAUCUUCAUCUUCCUAUUCUGCUUCCCCAUCUGAAGUGUGUUAUUUAGCAGUACCAGGAGAAGCUUUAACCAGAGUUCAGCUGUCUGAGGAACUGGAACAAGCAGAGAACACUGUGCCUGACAAGAUAAGCACUUUAACUGAAAAGCGGUGUGAGAGGAAGCCUCAGUCUUCUCCCCAGAGAACAAAGAACAGAUGGGAAUGUCCCUCGAGUCCUGGGUUUGGAAUCACUAAAGGUAGUUCAGAAGCAGAGACCAGAAGGGGCAGAUCUACCAGUCCAGCAAAGUCAGGGGCUGCUGAAGGAUACCCUCACAUGGGAUUCCACAGCCCCAGGAAAGAGGAUCCUGACAAAAAGAAUUUCUCACAUAAAUCUGACAGUUUCAGGAGUGAGAGUAAGACCACAGAAAUAGGGAUAAAAAAUAGUAACAAGAAGGAGUCUUCCAGUGGUAAUCGAGGAAGGUCAGCAAGUCCCCAAAGGCAUCUUGGCAAGCCAGGAAGCGCAGAAACGCUGGGAAGGAUCCAAGGUAGGACAGCCUAUGGUGAUAAGGCAACUGUUGAGCAGUUGAAAGGUGGGAAUGGUAAACCAGAAGUCACCAGGAAAGAGAUAAAGCAGAAGACCCCAGGAAAGACAGAAGGGUGUUCUGCAGACCCACAUUACCCAGCGUUUAGUGGGCAUAACCUUCCCUUCAGGGACUCCAGAAGAAAUGCCUCUGAGGAUGAUUUAUUAACCAAGUCCAGCUCUGGAGACACAGCUUUCAGCAGAUUCAAAGCCUCCAGCCUUUCCAAUAUCCCUCUGCCUUCCAUGGAGAAACAAAGGAGGGUGGAAACACAGGAAGCUCUUACGCUGAACAGACACCAUGGAGAGAGACAGCUGCUCAAUGAAACCAAAGAUGGAACUUCCCAACCUGAGAGAAAUUCUCCAGUAAGGAAAACACUGAUAACUCCCGGGCCGUGGAGGGUCCCCAGUGGCUGUAAGGGCACCCCAGCAGAAGGGGUGCCUGGAAAACGGGUGUGACUGACUGACAGACAUUGUUUUUAGAACAUGUUUGAUCAAUUUUCCAGUAAGGGUAAUUUAAAGCAUUGGGUCAGACAGUUGUCUUUUUUUUUUUUCUUUUUUUUUUCCCUCCUCAGAAACUGGUUAGAGGGGGGGAUGUAUUUGAUCUGUUUUUAAAUUAUCUAAGCUCCAUGAAGGACCUUUCAGAUUGCUUCAGUGAAACCCUUCCAUGAGCUGCUCUCCCCCCUGUGUCCCUUUGCAGGCCAUGUCUGCUGCUCCCAGUGUUGCACGUUAUUUAAUGCCUCUAUUGCCAAUGUGAUCCUCACUCACUUCCUGUUCUUGUGCCAAGCUAUCCACUGUAGCCAGUCAAUCUAACCCUUCCCACAUGGAUUCCAGUCACAGAUAAGGCAGGUUUGAGCUGAGGUGGGUGUUUUCUCUAGAGCAGGUUGCAUGUUUACAUCAGGAAACCCACACGUUCUUUCUGGGUCAGGGUGAACACGGGCGAGGUGGUUCUGUCAGUUCCAGGGCAGCAAAUGAGCUGCUGAUGCUGCUCAGUUCAUACACAAAACCCUGUAGCUAAAUGUGAUAUUUGACAUAAUUUUGUAAGCUUGCUUUUUCUGACACAACAAAAAUCACUUUAGUUCCUUGAUUCACAGGGCUUUGGGUUGCAAACAUCCAUGAGAGGAAAGAAAAUUGUGGGUUCUGUUAAAUAACACAAUUCCUUUGGUUUCACUCCAUGGCACCCUCAGCCUCGGUGUGAAGCUGAUACUGAAGUCCCAUCUUUAAUUAUUUAAUGCUUAUUAGGAAUCGGGUCUUUUCUCCUGUGUUAAGAACUGCCCGUAGGAUGGACUCAACUGCUAUAGCAGGUUUUUCAGUGAAGUUCUUGCCUGUAUAUUUAGAACUCUCCCCUAGUUAGAUGAACACAUGAUCAUGGACUAUUGAUGACAAACAGGAUACAGGAGACAGACCUUCUAUGGUUUGGGCUGGCAGAGAUACUUUAAAGAGGGAUGUUACUACUGGAACCUACUGACACAUCACUCCUACGGCUGUAAGAGCAACAGAAACGGAAGGGUGUUACUUUAUUCACAGUUUCAGUGAUUAUUUCCCAACAUCUGAGAUUUUCAAUGACUGCAGAACAGUGGUAAAAGGAGGUCCUUGAUCCAGUUUGCUGGAGAAAGAAGAGUAAGUGAUUGAGCUUUACUUAUUUAAAGUACAAACAUGAUUUACUCUUUGCAAGUGAAUAUCUCAUUUUCGCUGUGAAAUGUUAAAUGUUUUUAAAGUCUAACAAAGCACGGUGAGGCAGUUCUGAAUGGAAUUCUUCACAAGUACAUCUGACUGCUCAAACAGCUUUUAAACAAAGACUUUGGGAAUUCAGAAGGCUUUAAAGCAGCUCUGAACUGUACUCACCUGCUCAACACCAGGAGCUGCAUGAUGAGGUGUCCUGAGUGAGGCCCUCGCAAAGCUGGCAAAGGCAAGGAACAUGGAGCAUGCAGGGAGCAUCCAAGGGGGUUCUCCCCCCUGAGUUUCUCCUGGGGCGUGCUGCCUGUACUGCUGCCUGUAAGAGCUGGGUGUUGAACCUGGGUUUGGGCUGUUCUCCUGCAGUCCCAGCUCCAACUGCUGUCCCUGUGCCCAGACCUUGCUGUGUCCCAGCACCAAACUCAGGCAGCUGGGGCUGCUUUUCCAGGCCUUUCAUGCCACGGGCAGUCCCAGAUUCCUGGAGCUCCCCAAUGCCCAGCUUGGACUCGCUCUCUGGAAGGGGCAUGUACCAAAGAUGUCCUCGGUUUGACAUUUAAUUCCUGUUGUUUUUCCUUUUCCAGGUAGUUGGCAAAAAUGGAGAGAGCCAUUGGGAAGCAAAAGCCACUGGAAGGCCCUAUCCUGGUUCAAGGUUGCCACUUUUCUCUCCGACUCCUGGAUAAUUCCUUGACCAGAACCAGAGACUGUCCAUUUGAUUUCUUGCCUUUUCCAAUAAAUGGUUACUUUCA